UACGUAGGGUCCGAGCGUUGUCCGGAAUUAUUGGGCGUAAAGAGCUCGUAGGCGGUUUGUCGCGUCUGCUGUGAAAACCCGAGGCUCAACCUCGGGCCUGCAGUGGGUACGGGCAGACUAGAGUGCGGUAGGGGAGAUUGGAAUUCCUGGUGUAGCGGUGAAAUGCGCAGAUAUCAGGAGGAGCACCAAUGGCGAAGGCAGCUCGCUGGGACGGUACUGACGCUGAGGCGCGAAAGCGUGGGGAGCAAACAGG
rnacentral:rRNA from 1 species